UUUUUUUUUUUGUUUUAUAUCACCAUACAAACAACUUAAACACACUUUAGAGCCAUUUUUACCUAUUAAAAUCACCCCAAAACACUUCAACUUUUGGAUUAAAACUCUUGAGUCUAGAUGUUUCAAUUUGAAUUUCAAUUAUUUGGGACUAAUCUGGGUGAAAGUUUUGAGGAAUUUUGCAUCAUUUGCAUCACAAAAGCAUUACUCUACCAAUUGGAGGUAAUAUGCUUUAAGUUACUUCAUUUUUUUUUAAUUUUGCCAUUCAUGCGUUUCUUGAGUUUCUUGAUAUAUUUCGAAUGAUGAAAGUUUGAUGUGUUGUGUUGAUGUUUAUGAGUUUAUUUAUGCUUAUUUAACAUAUCUAGGCAUAUUUUUAUGAUCAAAUGUGCGAAUGUGAUGAUGUCUGCAAUGUUUUAAUCUUGUGCAUAUUCCUAUAUUAUGAUCAAUGUGAAAUUGGUUUUGAAAUGUUGUUAAGCAUAAUUAGAUAAUUCAAAUAGCCAAAAUAUAGCUUGUUUAUCAUGCCUAGGUGGGUACAUUUAUUAUAUGGUGACAUUUUAAAAAAUUUGAAUUUGUAAGCUUGGAAAAGGGAUAGUUUUGACUAAAAUAAAAAUGAUACGAACCCGCCCGAGAGUGUGAAUUCGUAUUCCACUAAACCCUAGAUCUAGAUGAAGAAAACAAGUUGGAGCGUGGAAUUGACAAGUGAUUAAUUUACGUAAUAAUUGUCUAAUACUUUAUAUUAUUUUUAGUCACUUUGGUUAUAAUAUUGGAAGAAAAUGAAUCAUUUUGGCUAUAAUUGGUGAAUAAAUGUUUUUAAGUGAUUAAAUGGGGUUUUUAUCACUUUUUACUUGGAUUUUGUGUAUUUUGACAGUUUUGACACAUUUUCGUAUUUCGGCUAUAACUUGAGCUACAAUGAUCGGAUUGGGAUGAUUUUUGAACCCAUGUGAAGAUAAGAGAUAGAUCUACAACUUUGGUGAAGACAUCUGAAUCCAGUUUGAAGGAUUUCCAGGUCAAAAGGCUGAAGUACAGAGUCAAUUGCUAUUGGUCGAAACUGGAACAAGGCAUGGAGCAGGCAAGGGUAUUUCAGUCAUAUCUCAGCCUACACAGAUCCAAAUGAGGUGAUUCUUGAUGCAUUAGAAAGAUAACUCAAAAGGCUACAACUUUCGUGUUUUAGACAUGAGCUGGUUCAGCUUCUAACAUCAAGAAAAGAUCAGUUGAAGUUGGGCAAAAAACAGAGCAAGUGAUCCACACUCGGAUCCACUAUUCAUCCGAACCCUCGGUUGUUUCUGGGUUAGUGGAACCGAGCUCGGAUCCAUACGGAUCCGAGGUACUGUAGCAGCUCGGAUCACUGUAGCAGCUCAGAUUUACUGUAGCAAUCCGGCCUGAAUUUGGCCGGAUUUGUGGCCGGAUUCCUGGCCGGAUUGUGGUCAGAAAAGGCUGCUCUGUACGCGUAAAACUCAAUUUCACUCCCACCAACUCACAUGUGAUGCUAUACAUGUGAGAAACAUUCCCAACUGUAAAAGGGAGAUGUAAUCCUCAUUUCUUGACCACCUUUCAUCAUUAAAGAGCCAAAUUCAUUACAAGAAGAAGGAGAGGGGAGUCCAUAGCAGAAAAAUAGAGAGAGAUACGGGAGAAGCUUGAAGUUGCAGAAAUGUAGCUCUUUCAUCUCCCUAGUGUUAGUUUAGCUUAGUAUAUAGUAGUGUAGCUUUUCCAUUCUUGUUUAUUAUCUAGAUUAGGAUGAAGAUGGAGGAUGAAGAAGGCAAGGAAGAAAGCUCAUGUGACAAGGGUUGUAUUCCUUCCAAACUCUUUAUCUUUUGUAUUUGAUUCCAAGUUUAGUUAAUAUACAAGUUCUGGAUUUUGUGUUCAUUAUGUGUUUCUAAAGUUUAUACCUUGGGUUUGGUUGAACUUUCUAUAAUUGUUAGUGUUUAUUAUUUGGUUAUUUGAUUGCUAUGAUUUGAGCAAGUUAUUUAGCACUUUGGCUCUUUAAAUCAUGAUUAAUCUGGUACCAUUGAUUGUGAUUAUCUAAGGUGUUGUUUCUGCAAUGGAAAUUGAGAUUUAACACUAGUUCAAAAAGUGCUAAACAUAGGGAGUACACUCACGAAAGUAGAGGUGCAUCUAUGUGGUUUUUAGUGAUUCAUUUCAUGUAAUUUCAUUGAAGAAAUGAACUUGUAGCUAAUUUCAUAACCAUGAGAAUAGGUAUGGAUUAGUUAUAAGUAUAAUUGAUUCACUACGAAAGUAGGAUUCAAAUGCAUAAGGAAAUUACACCAUAAUUAGCCUAGAUGUAGUACUCAAUGAUGCAAAUAUAGCAUUUACAUGAGUAGUUAGGGAUACCACAACCUAAGGAGCUUUCAUUUGUUAUUUUGUAUAAUUUCAGUAGGUUAAAUUUGUUAUAAUUCAUUGAUAGUCUAAAUAAUAGAGAAGCUUUAGUAAUACCGGUAAUUGUUCACUCUUCCCUGUGGGAUCGACCCGAUAUAUACCCUAAACUACUAGUUGAUCUGUAUACUUGCAGUGAACGGGUGUAAUUCGGUUUUUUUAACUUGUAUGUAUGUAAAAUACCCGUCAAGUUUUUGGAGCCGUUGCCGGGGAAGAUUUGGCAAUAUCGGUGUGAAGAGUAACUUUAUUAGUUUAGACAUAUUAUUAGUUAUACUGUGAAUGUUAUUUUCUGUGUUUUAUAUGUGUAUGUGUUUUAUCACCUAUUCUUCUUACUAAUUUUGCUCUUAAGUUGUUUAAAAGCAAUUUUAGGUGAUGAGAAGGGUAGGUCAAUUUGGAGGACAAUGCUUGAGAAGUGGAAGAUUGGCAAUGGAUGGUUAUCAAGUGCAAAGCUCCUUCAACAGAGGUAACCAAGAAUUUAUUGAAUGUAUGUCUUUUGAAAAUGGUUUAAGGUGCUUAAAGGCAAAAUUUGAUGUAAUUAAGUUACAAGUUCAAAUGGACACCAUGAUGCAUGAAAUUGAGCAGAGGAGGAAUGUUAAUGUUUUUAAUUCUUAUCAUGUGAUUUGUGACUUGUGUGGAGGUUAUCAUGCUACUAAUACAUGUAUGCAAGCACAAAAUGUGGAUUAUUAUUAUGAAUUAGAGCAUUACAAUCCUUGUUUUGAUCAAUACAGUGCUAAUUGGAUCAAUUCUCCUGUUUAUGGUUGGAAUAAUCAAUGUGCAUAUAGUGAUUUUCAAAAUUUUUAUGAUUACCAACUUGAAAGUGUCCAAUUCGAAUCAAAACCAUCUUGGGAGUUGGCAAUAGAGAAGUUAGCUAAUGCACCUCUACCUUGGGAGUUAGAAAGUGAACCAUUAGCUAAUGAUUCUAAUGCAUCUUGGGAGCUAGCUGUAGAAAAUUUUUCUAAUCAAUUUGAUUUAGCAGUAGAAAAGCUAGCAAAUGCAACUUCCGAUCGUUUUGAUAGGAUUGAGGAAAGAAUAGAUGAAUUAGCUUCUCACUUUGGUCGAAUACAUGAGCAAUUGAGUGCAUUGUGUGAAGUUAUUUCUUCUAAUAAUUUGCAAAAUGAUCCUAGCAUAAAUGGUGGGAAUGUUGUAUGUGAAAAUGGGUUGCAUUUUGAUGAAAAUGAUGAAUCUCAAUUAUAUUUCAAUGAGCAAAUAUCCAUUUCACAUAAUAAUAUCUUUGGAACUAACUUUGAACCUCAAGAGGUGAGUUUCAAUGACUCAUUUUUCACCCCUCUUGAGGAGUGCAGUGAAAGUAUAGGUUCUAAAGGUAUUCCUGCCCAAGAUACUCUUAUGACAUGUCCUUUGGUAAGUUCUCAAGUGGUGUAUAUUCAAGGUAAUAUCUAUGGAACACUUGGGAUAGGUAAGUCACUUUCAUUUCUCACAUCAUUAGAUCAUGUGGCUUUGGCUAUAAAGUCACCAUUUAAUGAUCCACCACGACCAAAAAUGGUGGAUUAUUCGCUAACAAAGCCUCCUUGAAAAAAUGAGGAGAAAUAGUCAAGCUAUUGACUUUAAAGAAGCGCUUAUUGGGAGGCAACCCAAUGUUUGUUUAAGUUCAUGUUACUUUGGAGUGAUUUUAUGUUUAAAGUAUGAGUUUGAGUUAUUUUGUUAUUUUUCAUUUGUAGGUUUUGGAAAAAGAUGCAAAAGUGACCAAAUGAGGUGAAAAAGGCGAAGUUUGAUCAAAGAUCUCAACACCUCAAAUUCAGUAAUUGUGGUUUUUGUUGCAUUAAAGAGGUUUAGAAUGCAUGUUUAGAUCAUUUUACAUGUGCGUGAACGAUUUAUUUUGACAUAGAAAUGAUCUAGGGUGUAUUUUGGAGAAUUGGGGUCAAACUGAAAAUUGCAAAAAUUCUGCAAUAAGUGCAGAUUCAAUGGAUCCGAGCUCGGAUCCAUAUGGAUCCAAGGCCUCAGAUCCACUUUUGCAAGCAGAUUUUUUUUUUCCAGCUUACUGGCCAGAAUCCGGCCGACAACCCGGCCGUAUAUCCGGCCGGAAACUGGCCGGUUUCUGGCCAGUUUUGCGCAAAAAGAGGAAUCCGCGCACGGAUUCUCCAUUUUCUUCUUCCUCUCUUCUUCAACUUAUACACACACUCACACUUAAAACACACACUACUCACUAAACUCACUCUUUUCACCAUCCAAUCUUCAAACCAACUAUACCAAAACACUCCCUUUUCACUUGAGAGAUGAUUUCAUAGCUAAAAAUUCUUCAAAAACAAGUCUAAAUUCGGAUUUGAGCUUGAGAAGAACAAGGGUUUCAAAUUUUUGAACUCUUCAUUUGAGGCCGAAUUGGAAUGAAAUUUUUGGGGGUUUCUUCACCAUUGGCAUCCAUAAUCAUCAACCAACAAGUUUGAGGUAACAAAUUUUCACUAAAUGUUGUCAUUUGAAUUUUGCCAAAUUUUUUUUUUCUAUUUUUGGGCAAUUUCAAAUUUUUUUUUUCAUUUUGUGAAGUUUGGUGCUUUACAUUAUGCUUAUUGAGCUUAUUGAUGAUUAUUGGUGAUAUUUAACUCAUGAGUUUGUGAUUAUUUGGUGAAUUUUUGCUAAUUUUAUGCUUAAUUUGGCUUGGUGACCAAGUUGCAUAUUAAGUGGCCAAUGUAGCAUUUUAAUUAGCUUUGUGGGAGUUUAUGAUAUUCAUGUGAGUAAUUUAGAUUACCUAAUGAAUGAAAAGGUGCUUGGUUGAAUAAUUUCUUGAAUUCUUAGGUAAUUCUAAAAGAAGAGAAAAUGGCCUUAAUUGAUGAAAUUCAUAAAUGCACUUAUAAUCCUUGUGGUUCAAUGGUUUUUAGUAUUUCAUGAAUUCUCAAGAAGGUCAUUUAUAUUUUGGCUUGGUGUGUUUGCCUCCAUUUUGAGAUUACUUUUGUACUUGAGGGGACUUGAUCACUGAUGACAAAAUGUAUAAAUGGAACUUACUUUGUUCAUAAUGGUGGGCUUAUUUUGUGAAAUUAGCAUCCCUUUGCUUUGGAUACUAAUGCAUAUAUUUGAUUAGCAAGGAUUAGCUCAUUUUAUGUUUUUAUCCCUUGAACAUUGUAUGGUUCCACAUGCUUGAUCAUCUUUCCUUUUUCCUUGACUUGCAUGUUUUCUUUUUGUUGAUUGCAACCUUUUAUUUUUAAGAAAUUUAUUUGUUUUGAUUUUGUCUUUUUCAGGGUGCAAUAAGUGAACUCUCCAUUCUUUCUCAAAUACGGUUGGAAAUUCAUCACUUGGACAUGGAUUCGGAUUGCGCAAGUUCAAUUGAGCAGUAUUUUCUUUUACUCCUUAUUUAUUUUCCUUUUCUCACAUUGAGGACAAUGUGAAGUUUAAGUGUGGGGGAGGAAAGUAUUGAACUUGCAUUUAUUUGCUAGGUGAUGAUAUUUUGUGGAUUUAAAUGCUUAGAAAUGUUGGAAUUGUGUUUGAAUUAUUUGCCAUGUGGAUAAUUUGCUAGAAAUUGGGUUUGUUGGCAGGGAGUUUUCUUCCAUUUAUAAGGAGAAACUCUGUAAAAAUUUUUCUAAAAUCUUUUCCAAUAUUUCACUAUGGCCCAAAAGUUCUUCAAAUUUUUGCAUUUUCAUUCAAAAAGGGCAAAUUUGUUCCAACCUUAAGUGUUUUAUUCUUCCAAUUGUUGAAACUUUAUGUGUAUUUUGGAAGGUUUAGUCCUCAUUUAACUUGGAAAUAGUUAUUAUGCAAUUAGAAUUUUUACAUUUUAGAAAGUAUAUUUGGUAAAGUGAGGAAAAUUAUGCCUAUAAUUUUACAUGUUUAAUGAGAUUUCUUCUCUUUACUUAAUUUUGCAAGUAAGUGAUUGAUAUAGUUGAUAAAGGUUAUACUCCUCCUUUGAUUAUUUGUAUAUAUAUUUUCUAUGAGGGAAAAAUAAAUAAAUAAAUAAAUAAAUAAAUAAAUAAAUAAAGAAAAAAAAAAGAAAAGAAAGUAAAUAAAAAUUGUUCUACUCCAAUGAUUCUCGUACCCAGUAACCGGGGGUUGGCAUCUACAAAAUGUUGAUUUUCGCGUAAAAAGGUAUUUGAAUUAAGAGUAUGUAUAGCAACUUGAAUAAGUGAAAUGUUGAGUAAUCGGGGAUCUUCACCUAAAAGUGUCGAUUUUCGCGUAAAAAGGCAUUUUCACUAUUUAAGUAAAAUUAGUAUGAAUAAAUCCCUCUUAAUUGUAAAAUUUUGAGAAAAAGAUGAUUAUAGGAGGAGGAAGGCUAUAAAUCGACUAUGUGGGUUGCUUAUUUGUGAAAUUAGGUUGGGGUAAGAGAUUAAGUUUAACUUGUUGAAUUAAGGUAUAAUUAUCUUUCCUUUACUUGAUAUUAUGAGUAUUUAAUGUAAUUUGAACAAUUGUAUAAUGAUUAUUUUCUAGGUCAUGAGGAAUUAAAAUUGACAAAAGUGCAUAUAUUGUUUCACCUCUUAAAUCAUUGUAAUUGAUUUUGUGUGGAUUGCUUGAGGACAAGCAAUGAUUUAAGUGUGGAGGAAUUUGACAAGUUAUUAAUUUACGUAAUAAUUGUCUAAUACUUUAUAUUAUUUUUAGUCACUUUGGUUAUAAUAUUGGAAGAAAAUGAAUCAUUUUGGCUAUAAUUGGUGAAUAAAUGUUUUUAAGUGAUUAAAUGGGGUUUUUAUCACUUUUUACUUGGAUUUUGUGUAUUUUGACAGUUUUGACACAUUUUCGUAUUUCGGCUAUAACUUGAGUUACAAUGAUCGGAUUGGGAUGAUUUUUGAACCCAUGUGAAGAUAAGAGAUAGAUCUACAACUUUGGUGAAGACAUCUGAAUCCAGUUUGAAGGUUUUCCAGGUCAAAAGGCCGAAGUACAGAGUCAAUUGCUAUUGGUCGAAACUGGAACAAGGCAUGGAGCAGGCAAGGGUAUUUCAGUCAUAUCUCAGCCUACACAGAUCCAAAUGAGGUGAUUCUUGAUGCAUUAGAAAGAUAACUCAAAAGGCUACAACUUUCGUGUUUUAGACAUGAGCUGGUUCAGCCUCUAACAUCAAGAAAAGAUCAGUUGAAGUUGGGCAAAAAACAGAGCAAGUGAUCCACACUCGGAUCCACUAUUCAUCCGAACCCUCGGUUGUUUCUGGGUUAGUGGAACCGAGCUCGGAUCCAUACGGAUCCGAGGUACUGUAGCAGCUCGGAUCACUGUAGCAGCUCAGAUUUACUGUAGCAAUCCGGCCUGAAUUUGGCCGGAUUUGUGGCCGGAUUCCUGGCCGGAUUGUGGUCAGAAAAGGCUGCUCUGUACGUGUAAAACUCAAUUUCACUCCCACCAACUCACAUGUGAUGCUAUACAUGUGAGAAACAUUCCCAGCUGUAAAAGGGAGAUGUAAUCCUCAUUUCUUGACCACCUUUCAUCAUUAAAGAGCCAAAUUCAUUACAAGAAGAAGGAGAGGGGAGUCCAUAGCAGAAAAAUAGAGAGAGAUACGGGAGAAGCUUGAAGUUGCAGAAAUGUAGCUCUUUCAUCUCCCUAGUGUUAGUUUAGCUUAGUAUAUAGUAGUGUAGCUUUUCCAUUCUUGUUUAUUAUCUAGAUUAGGAUGAAGAUGGAGGAUGAAGAAGGCAAGGAAGAAAGCUCAUGUGACAAGGGUUGUAUUCCUUCCAAACUCUUUAUCUUUUGUAUUUGAUUCCAAGUUUAGUUAAUAUACAAGUUCUGGAUUUUGUGUUCAUUAUGUGUUUCUAAAGUUUAUACCUUGGGUUUGGUUGAACUUUCUAUAAUUGUUAGUGUUUAUUAUUUGGUUAUUUGAUUGCUAUGAUUUGAGCAAGUUAUUUAGCACUUUGGCUCUUUAAAUCAUGAUUAAUCUGGUACCAUUGAUUGUGAUUAUCUAAGGUGUUGUUUCUGCAAUGGAAAUUGAGAUUUAACACUAGUUCAAGAAGUGCUAAACAUAGGGAGUACACUCACGAAAGUAGAGGUACACCUAUGUGGUUUUUAGUGAUUCAUUUCAUGUAAUUUCACUGAAGAAAUGAACUUGUAGCUAAUUUCAUAACCAUGAGAAUAGGUAUGGAUUAGUUAUAAGUAUAAUUGAUUCACUACGAAAGUAGGAUUCAAAUGCAUAAGGAAAUUACACCAUAAUUAGCCUAGAUGUAGUACUCAAUGAUCCAAAUAUAACACUUGCAUGAGUAGUUAGGGAUACCACAACCUAAGGAGCUUUUAUUUGCUAUUUUAUUGCAUAAUUUCAGUAGGUUUUAAUUUGUUAUAAUUCAUUGAUAGUCUAAAUAAUAGAGAAGCUUUAGUAAUACCGGUAAUUGUUCACUCUUCCCUGUGGGAUCGACCCGAUAUAUACCCUAAACUACUAGUUGAUCUGUAUACUUGCAGUGAACGGGUGUAAUUCGGUUUUUUUUAACUUGUAUGUAUGUAAAAUACCCGUCAGGAAUCUUGACCCUUCUAGAAUCACAUAGUUAGGAACUAAGAGAUUUUCUCAACCCACAACUAAACAAUUCAAUGAAGCAAAGUGUAGAUAGAAGAAUGCCACAACCAAGGUGUAUACUUGAUUGACAAGUUCUGGUUGAAUAACUUAAGAAAACUCUCAAGUAUUCAAGAAAAUCUCUCUUGGACAAUAGAAGUGAAUAAAACUUACGAAUUUUUUUUGAUGUAAAUUCUGAUCUGCCACAAUCGUUUAAGGUUUAGGCUUAUUUAUAGCCUUACUGUGACAGCCCCACUUUCCCCUAAGGCGAACCAAAGGGGUUAGCGGACUGCCUGCCCAGCUCUCGCCAGGACUACGGUACAGUUUACGUCGAUCUAUAACGUUCCGGAACAUCCCAUUGCACGUAAACAAGUCAAAAGAGUCAAAAUAAAAAAAAAUGAAAAAUUUGCCGAAGAUGAAUAGUGCAGGCCACGUCAGAAUCCGGCCGGAAUCUGGCCGGAUUUCCGGCCGGAUUCUCGGCCGGAUACUAGGCCGAGAGCAAUCCAAAAUGUUCUCCAAAACCCUCCGCAAUCCGGCCGGCAAUCCGGCCAGUUUCUGGCCGGAUUCCUGGCCGGAUUCAGUCCAGUGACUUUUCGUUCAAAAUUUUCCUUUUGCCGUUUGAAAUCCAAAUCGAUUCAAAGUUCAGCCAAACAUCAACCAAGCAUAUAUACAUUGAAAUCCAACAUUCCAAGCCAAAUCGGCAUACCAAAAUAUCCAACUAAUCCAUACAUGUACAAUAACCAAUUACAAACCAAACAUUGGAGGAAACAAAACACUUAGGGUUUCACCCUCAAGGAGCUAUUCAAAAUACAUGUACAUGAGCUCAACUUGUCAUUCAACUAUUACAAUCUUUUCCAAAAGUGUUCAUUUUCCUGUAAGGAAAACAAAUGGAACGGUGUGAGCUAAAGCUCAGUGAGCAACUAUCACAAUAGCAGUUAAGAUCACAUAAGCAUAACCAUUCAAGUCAAGUAUACAAUUUCGAAGUAAAGCAAUUCAGUGAAAGGAUACGGUCGGCUCUCAAGAGCCCAUUUCCACGCUUACAUUCUUGAUCCACACUCAUUGACCCUCCGUCAAUGUUAAAAGUACCAAACCGUAGACCUCACUUCACUUCCAUUCCUUCCACCCAACAUACCCCAACCGGGCCCGCACUCCAUUCAGUCAUUUUGGUAAUACUCGAGUUUACCGGAACCAAGGGUCUCAUUACCACAAGGUUCCCCAGUACAGUCCCCGUGGCAUGAUAAUUUUCACGACCAAGCCCUCGCCGGCUCGAUCCAAUUAACUACCAUACGGGGUUGAGCUCAUAAAUGCAGUAAAGCCAUUGGAUACUCGUCCAACGACACCAAAUCAGUUUCCAUGAAUGGAAUGCAGUAUCUCAUAUAUCCAGUGCAGUCUUUCAGUAAAACAAUUAAUAGUCAUGAAUAAAAUCACAAGGGGUGAGGGCGAUCAAGUACACCCUCACCUCAAUCAUUCCCAAUAACCAAGUAAGCCUUCAAGGCAUCAAAUACACAUAGCACAAAGCCACAUUAUAACAAGUAGGUGAGUAGUAUACUCACCAAGUGAGAAAAUGAUGUUUCAUGCACCGUCGUUAAACGAACGUCGUGCACCACCGUUUCCUCCUAGAACAAGUGAACAAUUACCAUAAGACUCGAUAACGAGUCACAAAGCCAAGCCAAUUAUAACCCAAUAGGGUUUCAUGCAUGGAAAUUCAAGUGUUAAAUACGUAACCUUUACUCAAGUCGAGAAUAUAGUUUUCUAAAUUUCGAGUAAAAAUGCGGGCAGCAUGCCCUUUGUGUUUACCAAAUUCUCCAGCCAUAAGGCUUCAUUAUUUUUCUUCAAUCACAACUCAACAACACACAUAUAAGCAUUUCAUGUCAAGAGCCGUUCCAUAGCUCACAAUAUCAUAAAACAAGAAACCAUACCGAGCCAUAAACAACACCAAUUCACAACCCCAAUAGGGUUUUAUAAACAUAUACUAGCAUGAAAGCAAACCAGAAAUUAAGAAAGGCUUUAAUGUUGGCCUUGAUAAGAAAACCGGUUUUGACGUCAUAAUGCGGUAAUGGCACAACUCUCACUACAAUUAUCGGUUGGGGGUGUAAGACCCACCAUUUCGAAGCUAUGAAACAGGGCUACAACAAUGUAGAAGGCCUCUCAGUCCAAAUCCUAGCACAACUAGGUCAAAAGUGCCAAAUACCAAACCAGAACCGAAAUUGCAGGUUCCCAAAUCACACAAAACUGUAAUACGUCAAUCUCAGCCUACACAGGUCCAAAUGCCGAAAUUCCAAAGGUAUAAGUUAGCUAAGAUAUCCAGCUACAUUUCAUCAGAAUACACCAACUUAAAAAUCCAAACCAAAUCCAGUCAAAACAGGCAAUUACUAUCGCAGUUCCGCACAUUCUGUUCACCAAAAACAGCAACAGUAAAAAUGGCAUAACUCUCUCUAUACUACUCCAAAUGCCCUGAAAUUUUGUAGGCACUUCAUACUCACCAAUACCUACAACUUUCAUGUUUUGAGUAAAGUCCAAUUCGGCCUCUAGCUAUGACCUAAAAUUUCGGACAGAAUUGGGAAUAAUAUGAACCCUAACUUUCCAUUUUCCAUCCAAAUCCAAAAUUGAUUACAUUUUCCUAUCCAAUACACCUCAUAGAGUCAUUAUCAGCCAUUACCAUUCAUCAUACAAGGCCACAACAUCCCAUUCAUAUUAAACCAGAAAAAUUCCCAAUAAAAUAAAAACUUCACCAAAACUCUUCAAAUCAAGAUAAAAACCAGAAAUUUCAGCACUCUUAUCACUAAUAAGCACAACAUAAGCAUCAUUAGGUGUAGUAGGGUGUUUCAAGCUUCACUUACCAAGAACCAAGAGAGAGGAAGAUGUUGUGCACCUUAGUCCUUCAAACAAAGUUCACCAAACAACUUACUAUCACUAGAAGGAAGAAUUUUAUGGAGUAGAAUCUAUUCUAGGUGAUUAGUUGUGGAAGAUUGAGUGAAAUGGAAGCUAAAAGUUGAAGAAUUUCCUUCCUUCUUUGAGCUUGAGAGGUUCGGCCAUCAAGAGUGAAAAAUGGUGCAUUUUUGUGAUUUUUGAAGAUAUAUAACCAAGUUGGGUCAAAGGUCAAAAAUGUGAAUAGUAUUUCUUAAGGUCAAACCAAUACUUAUGUGACACUUGUCACCUCAUUAAAUGCAUUCUUAUCAUUCUUUUCUCUCUCACAUCAAUCACUUCACACAUACUACUUAUCUCUUAACACCCGAUAAAUUUUCCACAGUAUCCGAAACUUAACCGUAUUGGCCGAAUUUUCCCGAACUUUUCGCACUAGUGGGUCCCACGUCCAAUAUCUAGUCUUAAUUUUCUAAAAGCUCUCCAAUACUAGAAAAAUCAUCUAAAAAACUAUAACUGCUCAUGAAAUCCACCAAGAAAAUAUUCCUAGGCCAGAAAAUGCAGAAAACAUGAAAUUUAAGGGGGGAAAAACCCUAGGAAAAUAUUAGGGCAAAACGGGUUCUCACACUUACAAUGACUUCAAAACCAAACCUAAAUUGGACUAUAUUAACCCCUAACUAAUGACCAAAAUUUUGGCUCACUUAAAGCUUAACAUGGCCAAAAUUAAUCACUUAAUUUAGCAAGGAAAUUGGCAUUAUAGCCCUCGCGUAACAACAUUUAACUAAAUGACUUCGUAACUUGGACUAAUUAGCUAACUAAACCGAUUUGCUUGGGCAAUCUUCAACUGAGUUGUUUUGAAGCAAGGUGUAUAUUGUAGACUCUUCACUAUCCAGCCUUUCAAUGGUCCUUAAAUCAUCCCCAACUCGUUCUUGAACUGUACAAACAAGAGUUUGAAGUGAUUCUCUAAAUUUUCUUACACGAGCUCUUGUAAUUUUAUCAUUUGGAAUUUGAACAACUUGAUUAGCCUUGAAUCCUUUUAACCCUUUCAUCAUCACUCUCCUCCUCUUGGAGGCGAUUGAUCCUUAUUGUUCCUUCCUUAGGAGGUUCCCAACGCUGCUGGAUUGGUGUUGCCUUUUCUGGUUCAGAAUUUGAUCUUGUGUCUGACUCCUUUGCUGCCUCAUACUCGAUCCAUUCCUGUUGUGCCUUGUCAACAAUUAUCUUUGCAUUAGCUAUCUCCUGUUGGAAAGUAAACUUGUUCCUUGCUUUCCAGAUUUGCCAUAAGAUGUUUGCUGUAAGUUAGAUUCUGCCCACACCUUGAGUCUCUUUUGCUGCCUACAACACCGCUUCCCACCAUCUCCACAGGUUGCCUUGAAGUUUAGCUAGCCCUUCCCACCGAACAGGUGCAAUCUUCCAUGUUACUUGCGCUGUUGGGCAGUUGAAAAAGAUAUGUUCAAUGGUUUCCAUGUCCUCCCCACAGCAAUGACAAAUCUUGUUCCCUAUGCCAAACCUUUUGUAGAGAGCUUCCUUAGUAGCCAAUCCGUUUUGUAGACAUCUCCAUAAGAAAUGUUUCAAUUUCAGCUUAAUGGUUAGGCUCCACAAAGUUUUCCAAACUGUAUGCUUUCUUAUCUCCCAACUGGUUUCCGGAUCAGGUGCUGGCCUUGGAAUUUGGAAAUUCAAACAAAGGUUUCUUGGGUUCGUUUUUGGAAGACUAGGUUGCUGAUUUGUGAGGUUGUCACGUGUGCAAGAAUUUGGCAAGUCCGAAUUUGGUAGUUUGAGUGUGACUAGGAAUUGUUUUUAAUCCCAAGUCAACUUGAAUUCCCAAUUUCAGAUUGCUUUCUUGUUCCACUUCAAGAUUGAUUCGAGUGUGUUCUUUCUUUUCUUGCAUUUCUCUCUUUUUUUUCAUGCAAAACAGAUUUGUUUUUCUUUCUUUUCCUUCACUUCAGAUCAAAGCUCAAAGAACAAGAUUUGGUCUCAAGUUAUGCACAAGAUCAGCCGCAACUUCCUUUGUUCAAGAAAACAAGAGCUAAGGUUUGUCCAAGGUUCAAGAUUUGAUCAACUUUGAUUUCAAGAAUUCAAGAACUCUAGAUUGUCAACCCAAGACUUCAAGAUUUGUCCAAGAAAUUUCAGAAAUUCAAUCAAGAAACUUCCAGACCUUGGUAUACUUCCAAGAAACAAGAGAACCAACCACUUAUGAUUCAAGAAACAGAAAACACUAGCGCAAUUUGUCAAGAAACCCUAGUUUGAGUUUCAGAUUUUUUUUUACUCUCAACGACUUUAAGGCUUGACAAACGAAGAAACAAGACACACACAACCAGAAACACGAUACCAACGAGAGAUAAGGUUCGGACAGCCAAGAAAAUAUGCGGCAGCAAGAAAUAACAACAAAAAACGCUAAUGGAACUACUAGAUUAAACACGGGCAACAAAGAAUGGACUCGAUUAGCAAGGAACAAACACAAGAAAACAUGACACAAGUUGAAAGUUUAACACAAGACAAUAUGGAAAAAAACCCUAGCGAUCCAACUAGGAGAACACGACCAUAUUUGAAAACAAGGAAAACUUACUUGACACGAACAAGAUAUACUUGAAUUCGUCAACUGGCUCUGAUUACCAAGUUGAUACGAACCCGCCUUAGGGUAUGAACUCGUAUCCCACCAAGCCCCGGAUCUCGACGAAGAAAACAAGUUGGAGUGCGGAACCUUGACCCUUCUUGUAGACACCAAAUUUUUAUUUUUUAUUUAUUUAUUAUUUAUUAUUUUAAUUUAUUGAUAAUUAUUAGCUAUUUUUACUUAUUAAUCUCAUGAUUUUAUUUUAGACAUUUUUUUUAGCAUUUUAGAUACCAAAUCUUUUUAAUUUAGCUUUAUUUGUUAUUAUUUUCAUUAUUAUUGAUUAAAUGUAUUUAUUAUUCAUUUCUUGCUUAAUUAGUCGCUUAAUUUUUAUUUUAAGACAUUUUUAAUAUUAAAAUUUGUCGGAAAAAAGAAAAUUGUUCACAAAAAUAUGCUUUAAAUUUUUCAGAUUCAAUUUAUGAAAAUAAUUGAUUUAUUAAAAAAAAAGAAAAAAAAGGAAGUCGCGCGCGUGCAUGGCACGCGCUCUACUUCUCUUAAGCUUCGUACUAGCAGAAACAGAAGCAGAAUUGCAGUGUUUUUUUUUCCCAGCUCUUUCUCAUCGCUUCAUCUCAUUUUUUAGCUCCGUUCGAUUGUUUUAAUAAGCCAUCUGGCUUAAUCUAGAAACCUCAAUGGUUUGGGCAUCAAGAACCAUCAAACGGUUCCUCAAAUACCAUAGAAAGGUGGCUUCAUCUAUACCAUUACUGAGAGGGUUUAGGUCCUGGUGUGCCAUAUAAAAGCAUAAAGAGGGUUUAAGGGAAUCCAGGGGGAUGAUGGCUGAAGGGAGGUUUUAGAGAGAAUCUGGAGUGAUGGCAGAGGAAAAAAAAAAGAGCUUUGAGACUGGAGAGAAAACUGGAAAAUAAAAGAAAAAGAAAGGUGAGUGUGUGACGGCUGAAAAGAAGGAAACAAGAAACAAGAUAGUGUGGCGGCUAGAGAGGAAAAACUAAGAGAAUUUGGUGAGUAAAAAAGAGCAGGAGUGAAAGAGACGGAAAACGAGAGAGAGACAGAGUGAAAAGGCAGAAAGCAAGGGAGAGCUAGGGUGAAUUCUUAGUUUAUGAUGGAAAAAAAAAAGAAUUCUACAACGAGGGCAGUUCUUGGAGUGUGUUCUGCAAAUAGGGGUCUUCGCAUUCCGGAAAUGCGAGCUCGAAUUGGAGCUCGCAUUCCCGGAAUGCGAGCUCACUGAGAGCUGGGUGAGCGCCAAGACAAGGCUACGUUACAGUCUUCGUCGGCUUGGCGUGGCAUAGGUACAGGUGCUGGUGGAUGUAGUCGCAUUGUCUCUUUGACAAUGGCCUGUAGGUAGACUAAAUUCUUGAUAUCAGAUUCUUCUACCCAUCUCUCUUUACCAACAAAAGAGUCAAUCUCUUCCUGGGCUUUUUGCAAAACGUGCCUAUGGUUCAGUAGCAGGGAGAUAACCCAGCUCAACGCCCUUGAUGUGGUACUAGUUCCUGCUACAAUAAGCACCUGCAAGCAAAAUAAUAAUAAUAAUAAUAAUGAAAAGUAACAAAUAGAACUAUGCAUGUGUACUUUUUCCCCCAUUUAAAUGUAUUAUAAUAAAAUAACGUAUUUCUAACUGUACAAUUACCAAUUUUUUUUAUUAUAAAAGAAUUAUGCAUGUAUAGUAAAUUAUAUUAAGUUUGAAUUUCAUUUUAAAUUUCGUAAAUUUCAUUUUAAAUUUUUUUCCUAACAAGUUUGAAUUUAAUUUUCUAAAAGUCAUACUUAUAAAUGCGAAAUCUAACAAAAAAGUUAACUACAAUUUUUGGAGGACAAAUUUAUCAAAUGCGAGCUAUUUGCAAAAUUUUAAAUAUUUGCAAAAUUUUAAAAAAAAAACAUCUAGGAGCUCGCAUUUAGCUCUUACUAUUUUCUGGAAAAAAUUCUCUAGCUCGGACAUCCAUUCAUGAUAGUCAGCUUCGUUUCUUUGCUUUGCCUGCCCGCUAUUUCUGAAAGAAAUAGAGUCAAGUGUAAUUUUUUUUUUCUUUUUGGAAGAUUUGCAGUUCAAGAAAACUAACAUUGAAGUCUCUGAUGCCUCCAGUGCGGGCCCCCUAACGCUUUUGGUGCUAACAGGAGCCUAGCCAUCUUCUGAGCUAGCCUUUCCAGUUCAUGACGAUUGGUGCUAAUCAGGGAAGUGGAAUUCAUUCUCUGACCCAGGAGCUCCUUUCUUUUUUUACGAAUAUAGAGGCUGCUAGAGAGCUCUGGGGGAGCUAGUAAAAAAAAUUAAAUUAGAGAUCGUAUUUGCGGAAUGCGAACUCAAUAACCUCGCAUUCGUGAGCUCGCAUUUCACGAAUGCGAAGACCCCCGGACGGAAUCCAUUACUAAAAUCACCCCUUUUGUAGAAUUUUUUUAAAAUUUAUCACAAAAUUAGAAAUUUCUCGGGAGAGCUAGAGGGAAGAAACCAAGGGUUUCGACAAGAAAAGGGGGUUUUUGGGCAGAGGAAAGAAAGAACUUGGGACUAAGGGAAAUCAAGCAACAAAGCAACGGAGCAAGAGGAGGAGAACCAAGAAGGAGCCACGGCUGAGCAAGAUCUUUGAGGGUUCAAGUCAAACCAAAAGAAGGAGAGGAGCUACUACGGGAGUCCCUUUUCCAUCGCUGCUAGAAAAUCCCACCAAAAUAGCGCUGUAAGGUUCUUAUCAGCCCCUUCCUAUAGAUAAUCUCUGUUAAUACGUGAUGUCUUUUGAUUAUUUCUUUUGGCUUUGAGCCCCUUAGUAUGGCAAAAAGGAGUUGCAGUAGCUGUUUUCCUUGUCAUUGUAGCCUAAAGCUGUAACCUUUUUGCUGGCAUUUUGCAUGACAAGUAUGUUAGGGUUCCAAAUUUGUUUGGUGUUGUUAUUUUAUUCCCAAGCUGAAGUUUAGGAGCAAAGAUGUUAACUUUGAAAAGAAAAAAUGACAUUUACAUGGCCAGUUUAUUCGAAAAUGCAUCUGAAGUCAUAUGUUGGGUAAGUUGUAGAAGGUUCCCAGUUUGUGCGUGUUUUCUGUUCUGAUUUUUAUGCUGAAAAAUCAAGGUUUUACAUUGGCAAAAGUAUGAAGAACCUGAGUUUUGGAUUGCAUGCGGCUGAGAUUGGUACCUUAAGAAUCUACUGCAACAAGCUCACAGUUCUCGGCUUGUUGCAGCAGUACGGGCAAAUCAGUUUUUUUUCUUUGGUUGCUCGUUCGAUGUUCUUGUUUUUUGCUGUUUGACUGGGAUGUUGUGAACAUGUUUUCUAUCAAAGCAUGAUUUAGACCCUUCUUAGGGACAAAAGCCUUUAGUGUUCUUCCAUGCGCGAAGCAAGAGGGAUGAGAAUCAUGAGUUUUGAGUUUAUUGUCUGGUGCAUUUUUCUGAUGCGGUCUUUGAUUGUUCUAUGAAAUUUUUGGGUAAAAGUUUAGCUAGUGUUCAGGUCACUUUGUUACAUUUGGUGUCCGAAAGCUUGUUGGAUGUCUCCCCUCUCCCUUGUUUCAUGUUCUCGUGUUUUAGUUGCAUUGAGUCGUUUUCUGGUUACUGGUAUGAGGAAUCACAGGUUGCUGCAACAAGCUCGAAACUCUCAGUUUUAUUGCAGCAAUGUGUACAGAACUUCUUCUUUUCUUGUUUGCUUUGUUUUUCUGGUCGAGCCUUAAUAAGAUCUUCAAGUCACAUUUGCUGCGUUUUGUGUCUGGAAGUUGUUAAAGUCUCCUCUCCCCCUGUCCCAAGUUUCCUGCAUUCAUGUGUAUAAAUAAGUUUAGGACAUGCAUUGAGUUUUUUUUUUCUUCUGUUUAAAGGUAUUAGCUUCGGUAUGAGCAACUAAAAAUUGUUGUAACAAGGUUGGAAUUACUUGCUUGUUAUAGCAAUGUUGAUAGCUCUCGAUUAAUUGUAGCAAAGUGAAACUCGACCAGGCUGCAUUUUUGUUUUGUUGGACUGUCAAGACCAUUGCUUGGUAGUUUAGGAAAGGUUCAGUCAUAGUUUUUUGGAAAAGGGAGUUUCCUGGCUUGUUGCAGCAACAAAGGUAGAUAUAUUUUUUUUUUUGCAAAUGAGUGAAACCUUCGCUGCUCCAAGUUCAUUUUCUUUUGCUGAUUUUGUGUUCAGCCCCCUUGUUUGAUUUCAGUGGGGAAAACAAUGGCAUUUGGUUGAUGUUAACAACAUGGAAUUGAGGUCAUUGCAUUUGUGUUUGGUUUGGUUUGAGUUGUUUCAUCAAUGUGUUUCGGUUAGAAUGAGGAAAGUUGCAGCUAACUUAGAAUUGCAGAAAGCUUCAUUACCUGUCGAAAUUUUUUUAGUAGAAAGCUUUGUUCGUUUGGUUUUGCAUGGAGUUUGCAUGAAAAACCUCCUCAUUUUGGUUCUGCCAUUCCCUUGCAUGCAUGAUAAGUUGGAAUGAUAAUUUGAGGAUUGGGUUGCAGUUUGAGAAGUUUGUGAAAUCAUGUCCCGCAUGAUUGCUGAAGCCUAAAAGUAUAGAAAGUAGUUGCAGAAGCUUGUUUCAUUCGUAGUGUUUGCAUGCUUUGCAUGAAAACAGUUUCCAAAAUUGCAAACCAUCCCCUUAAGUCUCCCACUUGAGAUCCUCGGUGACAUGUUUUCUAUGCCAAUUCAAUGCCACCUAUAGUAUUGCGCCAAGUGUCCUGUUAUUAUUUGCACUUGGGUUAAACCAAACCAAGUUGAAUUAUUAGAAAAUUAAAGUGUAAAUAAUAACAGAACACUUGGUGCAAUACUAUAAGUGAUAUUGGGUUGGCAUAGAAAACAUGUCACCGAGAAUCUCAAGUUAAUUCCUAAAACCCCAAAACAAAAAAAGAGACAAAAUAGGAGAGUAUUCAAUAUAUCACAAAAAGGAAGAUUUUCCAAAGGAGCUCUCGUGUCUUGGAAUUGUGGUGUCCCAAAAUAAGAAAGAGACUGAACAAGAAAACUCAACACUACGCAAAAGGGAGAGAAUUCCCUAAAUGAGUUUACGUCUCUGGUGAUAGAAGUGCCACACCAACUGCCAUGCGCGCCAAACCCUCUAUUUAUAGGAGAAAUUCUUCCAUGUGAAAGCCUUCGAACGAAUAGUAUUUGAAUGGAAAUGGCUGCUACGAAUUUGACUAAUAAAACAUACAACUCAAUAGUUGGGGUAUAUGCUAGGACGCUAAAUAGGUAAAAAAAAAAAUGUCCAUGUAGCUCUCAAAAUUUGACAGCACCAUAAAUGAUUUCACAUGGAUGUCAAAGACAUAUUUUAACACUUUUAUUAUUUAUUUUUUCCCAUCCUCCCGGAUGGAGUUCUUAUUAAGAUAGUCGAAUGAACCAGAAGUACAUAAAGAAACAGAGACCACCACGUACGUAUAUGGUCUGAAAUAAAACUAAAUAUCUGUUAUUGGCUUUCUUAAUUAUUGGUUUUCACUUUAUUAUUCAAACUUCCCAUCCUCCUCAGCAUCGCCUUAUGGUAAUAUUGGCCAUUGUAACCGUAUAAUUCCUUGCUGGUAUUUGUCGAACUGCCAGAAAGGUUGCAUAUCCACGAACAUACCUAAAUAUUUUGGUGCCAGAAAGUACUGAAAAUUCAGUCACCGAAGUAUUUUGUAUGCUAUAUCCUAGUCCUUGGAAUUCCAAAGUGCUACCGUUGUAUUGUCCGUCGGUGAACAUGAAGGAAAAUGGGUCAAAUGAGUAAAGUCCAUCACGGGAUGAAGCUACAUAAAGGCCUUGGCUUCGACCAACAGUUGGAGAAUUGAUGCUGAUGCUUUCUGUAAAGGGAGAAUCAUUAACAUAAAUGGUUCCAAAUUCGGUGGGAGUUCUCGGCCUACCAGGGGCGCCGGCAACUGCGACAGUGGUGGCAUUUGGUCCGCCUGAAAACAGUUGAAGGUACACAGUAAUCUUUGUUUCCUUUCCACCGCAGCAAUAAUCACGGUCACGAUGAUUAGCUUCUGAACAAACAAAGAUUGCUACUAAUAGCAAAAGGGAAAUUUGGAUGGAUGUUAAAGCUGAACCUUUUGCCAUUUUGUAUGUUGAAAGGCUUGCUGAAAAACAAAGAAGGAAGAAACAAAUUAGUUAGAUGGUGAAGAUAAUUUGUUCAAUGACCAUAUUUAUAGGAUGGAGUCAAGGAGUUAGGUAUAGCACAAAAAGUUUUAAAAGACAAUUAAACAUCAAUGGGUGGCCAUCUAUCACAAUAGGUUUGUGUAGAAUGGUGUGGUGUAAUCAGCAUAUAUACAUUCAUAGUUCAUAGCCAAGAAUUUCUUUUCAUAUAUAAUGGGAUAAUGGAAAACCUUGUUAACAUGAAACACAUUUACCUAACAAAAAUGAAACACAUUUAAUAAGGUUCUGGAAAAGGAUUAACUCCACUUUGCAUUUUCAAACUUGUACCACUUUAACAAGGUUCCGAACUUGUGCUUAGCAGAUAAAUCAAUGUCGACUUUUGAUUUUUCUGCAUAUAAAUGGUUUAAAUGAAAUGAGAUUACAUUUCUGAGAGUUAGGUAGAGCAUAAAAAGUUUUAAGAGAGAAUUAAAAAUCAAUGGGUGGCCACCUAUCACAAUAGGUUUGAGUAGAAUGGUGCGAUAUACUCAGUAGAUAUAUCAUUCAAAGUUGAUAGCCAAGAAUUUCUUUUAGGGAUGGCAACUAGGUCGGAUGAUCACGGGCUAAUGGGCCGGGGAGGGGAUUUUUUCCGCCGUUAAAAAAUGGGGCAGGGGGCAAGGGAGUAAACCCCCGCCUCACCACCCAUUAAAAAAAUUAAAUCUAUAUAUGUAUAUAUUCAUAUAUAAUAUUUAAUUUAAUUUGUUACAAAUAUAUAAUAAUGAUAUUAUUAGUUAUAAAUAUUAUAUAAUGCAUAUUAGUAUUUGUAAUAUAAAUGAUUAGUAUUUGUAAUAUAGUUGAUAUUAUCAAAUACUAAUAAUAGUACAUGUCUACUAAUAGAAAUUAUUAAUUAGUUAUAUUAAAUCUACUAAUACAAUUAUACUAAAUUCGUAAUUACACUUAACACAAUAACACUUUUUUCUCAGAAAAAAAAAACACAAUAAUGACUUAAUGAUUGUAGUUUUCUCAAAAGCGAAAACUUGACUAUUUUAGUUAUAUUUGUUUCAUCAUGUUGGAUUGUAUUCAAAUAACUUUUGUUUAAUUGUUUUUUAUGGGUUUCAAUUAUGAAAUUACAAUGGAUAAUGACUUGGUCAUAUGUUGGCAUUUAAGUAUUUGAUUCUUUGCUCAAAUUUGACUACAAUGAAAUUAUAUAACAAAUUUUUAUUAGCCCGACGGGUGCUUCCGUGGGGGUAGCGGGGACGGGUAGGAGGACUGAGGGGCAAGGGAAAUUCCCCCCGCCCUACUGCCAUUCCUAAUUUCUUUUGCUAUAUAGUGUAAUACUGGAAAACCUUGAAAACCUGAAACACAUUUACCCCAAAAAAAUGAAAUACAGUUUACAAGGUUCUGGAAAAUGAUUAACUCAACUUUGCAUCUUUGAAUUUGUACCACUUUAACAGGAUUCCAAACUUAUACUCAGCAGAUAAAUCGAACUUGACUUUUGAUUUUUCUAUAGAUGAAUGGUUUAAAUGAAAUAGGAUUGCAUUUCAAAGAGUCAGGUAGAGAUUAAAAGGUUUUAAAAGAGAAUUAAACCUCAAUGGGUGGCCACUUAUCACAGUAGGUUUGUGUAGAAUGGUGUGGUAUAUGUGACAGCCCCACUUUCCCCUAAGGCGAACCAAAGGGGUUAGCGGGCUGCCUGCCUAUCUCUCGCCAGGACUAACGGUGCAGUUUAAAGCGAUCUAUUGCGUUCCGGAACUUAUAACGCGCGUAAACAAGUCAAAAUGUCCAAAAUAACCCAAAGUAAAAAAAUGAAAUCCGGAGUCGGCCAUGAAUAGUAACCGACCCGUCAGAACCCAGUCAAACAUCAAAAUACAUAUACAACAUAACAUUUAGUAUUUACAAGCCAAAAUGGCAUACAAAAGUGAUACAAAAGUUACUACAUGUAUGGUUUGCCAAAAUCCAAAGUGAAACGGCCCUAAAGGUACAUUUAGGGUUUCGAUUCAUAAGCUAUACAAAAGAGACAUUCAUUUAGCUCAUUCGGCAACCAACUAGCAAGAAUCAUUCCAAAAGUAGUCAUAUGCCUGUAAGGAAAACAAAAGGAACGGUGUGAGCUAAUUGCCCAGUAAGAUACUAUCACUUAAGCAACCAAGAUCACAUAAGCAUAACCUUCAUUCCAAUUACUUUAUUAAGAAGUAAAACAAAUCGGUAAAAGGAUACGGACGGCUCUCAAGAGCCCAUUUCCACGCUUACAUUCUUGAUCGAACCUCAUUGACCCUCCGUCAAUGUUUAAGAAUAACCAACCGUAGACUUCACUUCACUUCCAUUCUUUCCACCCAACAUACCCCUACCGGGCCCGCACUCCAAACAGUAGCCAUUUGGUAAUACUCGAGUAUACCGGAAUCGAGAGUCUCACUACUACAAGAUUCCAUAUAACAGUCCCCAUGGCUCGUCAAUUUUCACGACCAAGCCCUCGCCGGCUCGAUUCAAUUGACUACCAACGGGGUUGAGCUCAGUAGUAACAGUAAGGCCGUUGGAUACUCGUCCAAACGACACCAAAUCAGUUUUCCAUGAAUGGAAUUUAGUAUUUCAUGUAUCAUUCAGUCAUUACAGUGAAACAGUAGACAAUCCUCAACAAUAUCAAAGGAUGUGAGGGCGAUCAAGUACACCCUCACUUUAAUCAGUUUCAACAGUGCAAAUAAGCCUUCAAGGCGUUAAUUUCAAUAUAAUAAAGCCACAUUGUAAACAAACAAGUGAGUAGUAUACUCACAUAGCAAGCAAGUGGAAUAUCGUGAACUUCUGCCCAAAAGGCGUCUUUAAUUACCGUCACGCCCUAAAACAUGCAAACAAGUACAAUGAGACUCGAUAACGAGUCAUAAACCAAUGCCAAAUACUCCCAAAAUAGGGUUCCAUACGCAUACAUAAGCAUUAGAGGAAAUCAGAAAAAUCCGGAAAUGCAAUUGGACUUCAAUUAAAAAAACAGUUUUUGACGUCAUUAUGCGGUUUUAGCACCAACGGCACUACAAUUAUCGGAUGGGGGUGUAAGACCCACCGUUUCGAAGCUAAGAGACAGGGAUACAAUGUUUCAGAAGGCAAUUUUGUCCAGUUUUGAGUGUAACAAGGUCAAAAAUGCAAGAUACUAUACCAGAACCGGAAAAACAGAUUCACAAAACGCAUUCUGCUGUAAACAGCAUAACUCAGCCUAAUUAAGCCCAAAUCCAGAAAUUCCAAAACCAUCUGAAAGCUAAGAAACAGGGAUAAAUUUCAUCAUAAGGCCUCAACAACCAAUUAGGAAGCAAUUCCAGCCAAAACAACCAAUUACAGGCGCAAUUCUUACAUUCGGGUAAAACCAGAACAGCAAUAGUAAUUUCGACUUUUCUCAUUCUACACUACUCCGAUUGACCUGAAAUUUUGUAGGCACCUCUAAAAUGUCAUUCCCUACAACUUUCAUGUUUUAAACCAAGGCCAAUUCGGCCUCUAACUAGGAGCUAAAAAUUCGGGCAGAAUGCUCCCUCAAGAACCCUAAUUUUCUGAAAUUUCUUCCAAACCAGAAAUUGGUUGCAAUUAAUCAUUUUUUCCACCUCCUAGAGUCAUUAUAUACCAUUUCUAAUCAUCAUAGAUAGCCACACAAUCAUGCUCAUAUUAAAACAGAAAAAAAUCUCCAAAAAUAAUAAAACUUCAUCACUUCAACCACAAAUCAAGAAAUAACCCAUAAACUUGCAUCUCAUACUACCACUAAGCAUGAUUUAAGCAUCAAUUAAGGGAGGAGGGUGGUUCUUCACAACUUACCUUAAAACAAGAGAGAGAGAGCUAUUGGACACCUUAACUUUCCAAAUAACUUCACACAACAACUCACCAACACCUCCUUAAGUGGUUUUAUGGAGCAAAAUCAAGGUUGGAUGGUUGGUUUUGAUGAUUUGGAACAAACUUGAAGAGUUUUCUUCCUUGUGCUUAGAGUAAGAGAGAGAGAAAGAGAGAAUGAGAGGGCCGGCCACCAUGGAGGAUUUUUUGAUGAUUUUUGGGUAAUUUUUAAGCUAUUUUAACCAAAUUGGUAAAAGGGUGAAUAGUGUUCAAAAAGGUCAAACCACUCCUAUGGUGACACUUGUCACCUUUUAAUAAAUACUUACCUACCUUGUCUCUCUUAUACCAAUCCACUUAGCACCCUCUACUUAUCUCUUAACACCCGGUAAAUUAAUUCCAAUAUUCAAAACUUAACCUAGUUGGCCGAAAUUUUCCGAACUUUUCGCACUAGUGGGUCCCACGUCCGGUAUACACUCUUAAUUUUCCAAAACCUAUUCGAUACUAGAAAAAUCAUCCAAAAACUAUAUCUGCUCAUUAAAAAUAUCUAGAAAAUUUCCCUACUAAAGAAAAAGCAGAAAACAAGCCAUUAAAUAAAUAAAACCCUAGAAAAAAAAUGAGAAAAUUUCGGGUUCUCACAGUAUACACGGUAGAUAUAUCAUUCAAAGUUCAUAGUCAAGAAUUUCUUUUGUUAUAUAGUGGAAUAAUGAAAAACCUUGAAGUCUUGAAACACUUUUGCCUAAAAAGAAAUAAAAAGCAAUGAAACACGUUUGACAAGGUUCUGAAAAAAAGAAUUAAAUCCACUUUGCACCUUUGAACUUCUAUCACUUUAAUAAGGUUAACUUACACUUAAUAGCUAAAUCAAUCUUGGCUUUUGAUUUUUGUGCGUAUAAAUGGUUUGAAUGAAAUAGGAUUACAUUUCUAAGAGUUAGGUAGAGCAUAAAAAGUUUUAAGAGAGAAUUAAAUGCCAAUGGGUGGUCACCUAUCAAAAUAGGUUUGUAUAGAAUGGUAUACUCAGCAAAUAUAUCAUUCAAAGUUGAUAGUCAAGAAUUUCAUCUACUGUAAAAAUAAUAAAAAGCUCAAACGUUGACUUUCCUGAUAAUAUGAUGCUCCAUCCAAUCCACAUAUGUUUAUCUACGAUUCAGCAGUAAAUUUGAUGAAGAGCUCAAAAGUUGACUUUCCUGAUAACAUGGUACUCCAUUCUUCCCGUUUUAUAAGGACUUAACUAACCAUUCUGUGGCCAAACCAUUAUCCAUCUUGACCAUCUAAAUGGCGAAUUGCACUUUUAGUUUAAUGCUCAAUAAAACAGAAGUUCUUAACCAUGUUAAGAAAAAAUAGAUGAAAAGGGCUUUUGUCACCUUUUAUUAGUUGUGGUGGUUAAAUAGGAGAAGGAUUACAUUUUCUUAAACUAAGUAAAAGAUUAUUUUACAUAAAGCAAGUUGGAUGCACAUCAUAUGUAAAAUAAAAAUAUGAAAAAUAAAGACUACCGUACAUUUAGACUUGGUAGCAUAUCAAAAAAAAAUUUUUUAAUGACAGUGUAUAAUGAUUUAUGUAUGCAACAAAAUGAAACUUCUCAUUUUCAGACCAGAAAUAUUUCUUUUGAAGUAAUCUCAGUCGGACAAGGACGUACCAAGCGGGGCCGAGAAAGAAAAGCCCCUCCACACCUAAAAAAAUUGUUAUGAAAAUUAAGUAGGACAAUAAUCUUUUAACAAUAAUUGUUACUUUACCACCAACAUAUAUAACUUACUUAGUUCCUGACCCCUUCAAUUACAUUUAGACAAAUCUUCCAUGACAAAUCAACUUUUACCUCUUUCUGCUAGUAUAGAGUUUCGUUGCAUUUGUGUACGAUAUAUAUGACUUAAAAUUACAAUUAAGUAAACACUAUACCAAAAGGAAACAGAGGACCACCAAAAGAAAGUUUCAACCAAUAUUAGAUACUAUUUAUACUAUAUUGGCCUGAAUAAAAAAAUAGAGUAUUAGUCAAAAAUGAACACCGAAAAUCACAAUUUUUUUAUUCGUAGAUGUGUAGCCUUUACAUUUUAUUCUUUCCAGAGUGAUUGGUAAUGAUGAAUUACAAGAAUAGUGGAAGAAUGAUUAUAAAGAUACAAGAUGCAUAUAUGAUAGAGUCAAAGCAAGGUAAAUGAUAAGUGCUUGAUUUGCAUAUUUGUAAGUGGUUAUUUAUGUGCAUUUUAGUGUAUUUUCAUUUAAGUUGAAGUUGAAUAACUAGAUUUUUAGUUAAGUUUUGCAUUUUGUGGUUAAGUGAGAAAACUCACAUUUCUAUGGACUUAAGUGCGGAAAUUUCAUGUUUUUUUUAUAGGUUUUGAUAAUUCAAUCAUCAAUUGAAGGGAAGUGAGGAGAUGCUUGCAUGAUUGCUGAUGAUUUAAUGUGGAAAUCAUGUGACAUGAAGGACCAAAGGAAGAAAUACACUCAAGAAAUACACUCAGUUGAUUGAGUUAGACCACAAGAUUGAUCAUGGAGUAUCCAGUUGGUGAAGAUUGGGCUACAAUAUUGGUUUAAGAGAAUUUUCAGAUUGAUUAUGGGUGGAAAAACAGAGAUUGCAGAAUCCUGUCCGUUGAGUUGUGAUUAUUAAAAUCACAAAGUGCAUUGUUAAUAGGUUGAUAUCAAAUUGUGCGAUGAGAACAGUCUAUCCGGAAACAUGGAUUAUUUUAAUGAGUCAAAAUAAAUCGAGCGAUCAGAUAAAUUUGUCUAGGAGUGUGGAGUAUUGCAGCAAAAAAAACCUUUGAAGAUGAAGAAUUCAAAUUGAUGUUAACAAAAUUUACAAAGGAGAUUGUUGUUCGUGAUUGCAAUGAACGUAAUUCAAUAGAGAGCUUGAUUUAAGGAAAGCAAUAUUGGCAUACUAAAUCAAGCCUAAAAAAAUAUAAGUUUCUAUAUUGUUAUUUGGUAGUGUUUUAGUCAAAUCAAGUUUUUAGUAAUUUUGUUGAAGUCAAGUUAUAGUAGUUUUAGUGUUUAGGAAGUUUUAUUUUAUUAAAAAAUUUCUUGCAGUUGUAAAACUUGUUUACCAAAUCAUCUAAUCUAUAAAUAAAGAGUCCUACUAUUAUGAUUAGUUGAAAAGAGUAAAAUUUAAGAGUCUUGUUAUUAUGUGUAACAAGUUAUCUAGUCUAUAAAUAAGAAGUCCUAUUAUUAUGGUUAGUUGAAAAGAGUGAAAUUUGAGAGUCUUGUUAUUAUAUAUAAUUAACGAUAUAUUGUUGAUAUUUAUUCCUCUUUCUCCUACACAUACUUGUAUGUGUGUAAGUUAUCUCCCCAUAUAUAUAUAUAUAUAUAUAUAUAUAUAUAUAUAUAUAUGAGUUUUUAUCAAAUAUAUAUCGUAUAAUUUUUUGGUUAAUUUUUUACUUCUACAAAAUUCAACGUGUUAAAGCAAAGUAGCCAACAUCUUGAAUCUAUCAAGUCAAUUACCAAAUUAUGCAGAAACAAAGGAUAAUUAAACUGCAAAUAGAACAUUUUAAUUUUUGUAUCUAAUGCAAAACGGUAUGCCUCUAUUGACAAAUUAUGUUUGAUAUGAAUUUAAAAUUAAGGGAGAAUUGUUCAAAACGUCCCUCACAUUUUGCAAAAUAACUUUUUUCGUCCCUCACUUUUAAAAAUAUAAUUUUACGUCCGUUACAAAUUCAUAUUGGUCAAAUUUGGUCCCUACUUAGGUUUCCGACUAGUUUUUGGUCGGAAUUCACCACGUGCCUUGCACGUGAUCAUAUUUUAAGGGCAAAAUUGUCAAAUGAAAUUUUAUAUAAUUUGAUUCAUAAUCUCUCACAUUUCAUAAAAUAAAAAUUUUCCCUUACAUUUCACAAAAUGAAUUUUUUCAUCAUUCACAUUUUUUAAAAUGAAUUUUUUCAUCUUUUAUUGAUCAUGUGUGUGCAAAAUUUUUCUUAAAUCCAUGUAUAUAUCUAUUUGAUUUCACUUGAACAGUACGAAUAGCAGAUGAAAUCAAAUAGAGAUAUAUUACAUACUAUUCGUACUGCUCAAGUGAAAUCAAAUAGAUAUAUACAUGUGUUUAAAAAAAAUGUUAGUUUUUCACUUAUAUUCAUUUUCUUUUACUCGAAAUUUGAAAAUAAAGAUGACAUUUAAUCCUAAAUAUUAUCGAGUGUUUAUAUCGAAUUAAAUUUGGAUAGAAAAAGUAAACAAAAGAAAAGCAUGACAAAAAGAAAUAAGUGAUUGGCACUUUCAAAUUAAGACAAUCACAAAGCAAGUAAUUCAACUGUUGGUCUUAAAAAUGUCGAGUAGAAAUUUCAGAUUUAAACUGAAAUUUGUUAGCACAAUUAUAGAAUUCGAGUUAGAACCUAUUAAUUAGAUGACCUUAUUAUACAACUCAAUAAAUAAAUUAUCACCAAAAGAGAAAGGUCACAAAUAUUGAAUAGGUUCAAAUGAUGAAAUCAUAUAAAUAUAUACGUGGGUUUCAAACAAAAUUAUUAGUUUUAAACCCCUAUAUACAUCUAUUGAAUAGCAUGUGUAUAGCUAUAAUUAGCAUGUUUAGAUGAAAUCCAAUAGAAAUAAAUUACAUGUUAUUCAUACUGUUCAGGUAAAAUCAAAUAGACAUAUACGUGGGUUUAUAGAAAAAAGCUAUUCGUACACAUGAUCAAUGAGGGAUGAAAAAAAUUCAUUUUGAAAAAUGUGAGGGAUGGAAAAAUUCAUUUUUUGAAAUAUGAGGAACGAAACAAUUCAUUUUGUAAAAUGUUAGGGACGAAAAAAUUCAUUUUGUGAAAUGUGAGAGACAAUGAAUCAAAUUAUGGAAAAAUUUGAUUUAAAAUUUUGCCCUCAAAAAAUGAUCACAUGCAAGUCAUGUGGUGGAUUCUGGCCAAAAACUAGUCGGAAACCUACGUAGAGAUCAAAUUUGGUCAAUGUGAAUUUGGAAGGGAUAUAAAAUUACACUUUUAAAAGUGAGGGACAAAAAAAGUCAUUUUGUAAAAUGUAAAGGACGUUUUGAACGAUUUUCUCUAAAAUUAACCUAACAAGUUCAGAUUUCAAGAAUUAGAGGUCUUGGAUUUUAAUUCUCAUACCUUUUCCCCGCUUCUUACGUUCCACCCCUUCCUCUGAUGGGGCAAAAAAAAAAACCGAUAGUUAAGGUUCAAAAGGUUCUAGUCUCGUCUUCCUUUUCAUUUAAAAAACUAGGGCAGAUGUCAAUGAGAGGCAAAAUUACAUAUCUGCCAAAGGCAAGAGUUGCUACUAAUUACUACGUGCUAUAACCCUUAUUCAAUGGUGAAAUUUUGAGAGUUUAAGAUUAUAUGAAUAAAAAAAUUUUACUAUCUUGCUUAAGACGUUCAAAAUUUUCUAACACGCUUUUAUUUCUACAGCACUUGGUAUAACAGAUAAUGCUCUUUGUGCCCUUAUUCGCCCCAAAUAAACAUUUGCAGGUCCACUCAAAUUUUUGUUUGAAUAGGAAGUUAUUUGAAAUAUUUAUUUGAAAAAAUUAAUAUAGCAUUUUUUGUGAUGUGAUGUAUGUGAGAUAGGUAUUGGAAAUUGUGUGUAUGAUGCAAACAAAGCAAAAAUUGAAAUUUUUAUCUAAAAUUUUUAUUUGAAAAUUACUACAGCAUUAUUGUGUUCUUAUGCACUCGUUAGACAGAUUCAUAGUUAAAGCGGAGUUUUUUAAUCUUUAUUAUUAUUAAGCUAAGUUGACUAAACACAUGGAAUUGGUAGUUGUUCACAAGGAAAACUAAGAAAUAAGAAUUGAUAGGAAAGGACGUUGAGAAGACUAAUGACAUCUUGGUCAAAUUGAUGGAAAAGGUUGAGAUGGAAGUCUGAAAAGCUAAAAGGCUGAAGAUCGACUAAAAAGCUUUUGAAUCCCACAUCGGUCUUGGGGGAUGGGUUUGGAUAGAUAAGUCCUCUGGACGUCUUCAAAAGUUACCGACUUUUGAAGAUUGCUCGGGAAUUUAGAUUUAUUUGCCGAAUUUUUACUUUCGUAAGAAAAUGUCAGAAGACUAAAAAGCUUCGAAGUUGAGAUGGGAGACUAAAAAGCUGAAGUCUUCCCACUGUGUUUUAGGUGCGGGGCUCCUUGCCUAUUCUAAUAUUCGAUUGAGUCAAUAAUGCAGUUUAAAUUGGACUUUUCGAAAUCAUGUCCGCAAAUGACAUCCAAUGAAUAAUGUAGGUAACAAACGUUAAAUAAAAAGGUAUCAAUUUUGAGGAGAAAUGCCAUUCCUAGUGCUAAUAAAUACAACCAAUCACUUCGGUUUUGGCAGACAAUAUCAAUUUCAGCUAUCUAGGUUUUCAUUUUUUAGAUAUCAAAAGCCAAAAGAAGCAAGAAAGAGAAUUAUAUUUAGUAUUGAUUUCUAAAUCAAGCAACCAUUGGUACCUGAAAGAGUCAAUUUACUCUCUGGUUGUUAGUUCAGAGCGAUUAAUUUAGCAAAUAAGCGAAAAUCUUGAACCGGUCAAACCAUUAUUAAAUUGACAAAAAAGAAAAAUGAAUAUUUUUUUCCUGGUUAUUAAAAUUGUUCAUAAGUGCUAUCUUCUCUGUAUUUUUUCCUAUGUUUCAACUAAUUACAUGGAGAUUAUUGAUAGUCAUGCUAGUAGUUGUACUAUGGUACUUCAAAAUUUUUCUUCUGCCAUUUUCAUUUUCAUUAUGAGCCUAACUAGGGAAACCAGUAAAUUAGCAGUUUUAAUCGGCAAUUAUCUUAGAAAAGCGUGGUACUUCUAAUUGAUCAGAUUCUAAGAGUGUGUUUGAUAAAACUGAAGGCUGAAAACUAAAAAUUGAGAACCAAAGUUUGAAUCCAUUAAGUUACUGAAUUAUUAAGUAUUAAAUUUGAUACAUUUGAAUAUAUAUCAUAAUAAGUGAUAAGUAAAUAGUUUAUCAUCUAUUUUUGGAAGCAAGUUUUGUUUAAUAUUAAUUAAUUCAGAUGUUCAAUUUUUAGUUAUUAAGUGCAUUUAAAUAUGUUAAAAUCUGAAUCUAUUAAAUUUAAAUGUUGAAUUGGGUUAUCAAACAGGGCGUAAGUACAAAAACUUUAUCAAAUUCAACCUCCGGAAUCUAAUCCUAGUAGUUAGUAACUAACACCAUAAGCAAAAGUAAAGCUUGAUUUUUUCACCAAUCAGCUACACCCCAUAUCCUACCUUUUAAAAUCAAUUCUUUACUUCAGUAAUUUCUUCAUGCUAAAUCUCUAUUUAACUUGAGAAUGAAUAUAAAAUAUUGUAUCAUUAGAUAAAAUUUCUUUUUUGUUAUUGUGGUUUGUCCUAAAUGUUAUCCACUAUUUGUCCUAAAUGUUAGGCUAAAUCCUUAUUUGAUUCGAUAAUGAAAAAACAAAUUAUUUUCUAUUAUUUGAACUUUGAUUUUCUAAUGGGUGCCUAGUAGUAACUCGUUAGUAUAUUUAAAUUACACAUAACUUAUUAUAUGAAUACAUAUAUUUACCGUUACUACAAUCCUAGCAUUUCGAGGCUUUCCCGAAUUAAUUAUAGUCUUGUAAAAAUAUAAACACUUAUAACGAGAGUAUGUAACCGUUAGUCAAAUCCUUUGGACUUUGCAGUUGAUUAAUUAGUACGUCACCGUCUUCAACUCCGCAAACCUUUAAAGGUGAGGAUUACGAGAAGAAAGAAAGGAUGAAUUGUUAAAUAUUACUUUGAACAAUCAACACUGAUCAAUACGUGAACGACUCAACACUGAUAUCUUGAAGACUGCCUGAUUGAGGACUUUGUACUUCAUUGGUACAAUAUAACUUUCACUAUCCAAGUUUCUAGAUGCUGAUCCGAGAACAAAUGAUGUAAAAGAGAAUAUUUAAAGGAACCAAGCAACAAUUAAGAACAGAAAGGUCAAAGCCAUGCUUUUAAAAUCAAAACGCAGCCAGAAAGAAUUAUAUGAUCUCUUAAUGUAUGCGUAAAUGAUUAAUGUUUUAAAGCAAAUAGACUUGAAGCAAUAAUUUAUAUUGCUAGUUGACUUUCAAUAUAAUUUCUACUAGUCUGAGGCUGCGCUACGCACAGGGUGAGCAUAUGUGACCCGUGUUAAUAGUAUGUUUGUCUGAAAAUAUUUUGUAAAGUUUGCUUUGUAAGUAUUGAUGUUGGAAAUAAUUUUAUAAUAUGUAAAAUAAUUGUGAGCUAGUUAUUUUUUAUUAAAUUAGGAUAAUUGGAGAGAAUUGUUGGUAGGUUACUGUAUAAAAUGUAGUUUAAUGUUAAUAAAAAUAUAGCAUAUAUGUGCUGAAGUAGCAGAAUAUGAGUAUAGUAUUGAACAGUAAAAGUGUAAUUUUUAUGGUUAUUAUUUUAUCUUGCAAGAACUUUUACAAGUUCAUCAUAAAAAAUGUGCAUCCGAUAUUCGUUCAUUCAUAAAUGAGAAAUUAUGAGAAUAUAGCAUGGACUAAUAACAUGGUAUCGUAGCAUUUUUUUCCAACCAAAGCUUCGAAAAUUAUCUUCAACUUUAAUGUCCCAGCUUGUGUGUUGGCAAUGAAAGAUGAUUAUGCUGUUUUUGUUUGGCAAUACAUGAGCAGCAUCAUUGGGUUAGAGUUCCGCAGAAUAAAAUAGAUGAUUAAAGUAAACUUGUGUGAUUUUUUUUUUCAUAUCAAAAUCCAAACAAAACUAGGGUUGUUUGAAAGGACAAUCAGCAUUUAAUGCUAGAGGAAAAGCAACAGUGUGAAUGGAAAACAAAAAAACGCAAACUCAAAAUGAGAAGAGGUUAGACGUAAAAAGAAGUGCCACACCAACUGCCUUGCCAAACCCUCUAUUCAUAGGAGAAAUUCUUCCAUGUGAAAGCCUUCGAACGAAUAGUAUUUGAAUGGAAAUGGCUGCUACGAAUUUGACUAAUAAAACAUACAACUCAAUAGUUGGGCUAUAUGCUAGGAUGCUCAAGAGGUAAAAAAAAAAAAUGUCCAUGUAGCUCUCAAAAUUUGACAGCACCAUAAAUGAUUUCACAUGGAUGUCAAAGACAUAUUUUAACACUUUUAUUAUUUAUUUUUUCCCAUCCUCCCGGAUGGAGUUCUUAUUAAGAUAGUCGAAUGAACCAGAAGUACAUAAAGAAACAGAGACCACCACGUACGUAUAUGGUCUGAAAUAAAACUAAAUAUCUGUUAUUGGCUUUCUUAAUUAUUGGUUUUCACUUUAUUAUUCAAACUUCCCAUCCUCCUCAG
rnacentral:lncRNA from 1 species